GGGGGCAGGAUGUGAGGGUGACAGUUGUGGGGCAGGAUGUGAGGGUGACAGUGGCGGGUGGCAAAAUGUGAGGGUGACAGUGUGGGAUGACAGUAUGUGUCACCCUCACAUUCUGCCCCCCACACUGUCACCCACACAUCCUGCCCCCCACCACUGUCACCCUCACACUGUCAUUGUCAUCCUCACAUACUGCCUCUCACCAGUCACCCUUACACCCUGCCCCCCCACUGUCACUCUGACACUGUCACCCUCACACCCUGCCCCCCA